rnacentral:sRNA from 1 species
UAAAUCAGUUUGGACAUAACCAACAAAAAGGAAAGAAUAAAGAAGUAGGUGGUCGCAAAAUCACUAGGAUUUGAUAGAUUCAAGCAGAAACUAAAAGGAGCGAGAUUUCUGGGAAAUAUCAGAGAAGCAGACGAGGUCAAGUCCUAUAAAUCUGAUGGAGAGUAAUGUAUAGAGGCAUCAAUUGUACACUAGAAAAUCCCUAAUAUUACUUACUCAUCUAGCUCUAAGAAGUAAGAACAUCUCAGCGAAAUCUUUGUAACUUUAUUUCGGUAUAUAAAAGUCCAGUUUGAUUCUUAAAAUUGUGAUCAUGUUUGAUUCGAUGGAGGACUAGUUAUGCGAUCUUGCAUCCACAAUAGAGUAAUAUUGACCAGAAAGAAAUUACAAACAAAGUUACAAUAGUAUGACAUGGAAAAAUACCAAAUCCAAAGGAUCAUCAACGUUGGAAUGUAAAAAUUUUGAUUUGUGUAACUCAUAGUCAUAGGAUGUGUUCGAGGAGUGAAUAAUCUCCCAUGCUUAAUACUAGUAUAUAUCUGGAU